rnacentral:rRNA from 1 species
UACAGAGGUCUCAAGCGUUGUUCGGAUUCAUUGGGCGUAAAGGGCGCGUAGGCGGCUCGGCACGUCCGUUGUGAAAUCGCCCGGCUCAACUGGGCGGGGUCAGCGGAUACGGUCGAGCUUGAGCAAGCUAGGGGGCAACGGAAUUCCCGGUGUAGUGGUGGAAUGCGUAGAUAUCGGGAGGAACACCAGUGGCGAAGGCGGCUUCCUGGUCCAGCACCGACGUUCAGGCACGAAAGCGUGGGGAGCAAACAGG